UGUAAACUCUUUUGGGCUGACAAGCUAAAUCUCCAUUUAGCCCUCCUCACCAUCAACGAUAGAGAGAGAAGAGAGAACGGAGGAAGGGCCGCUGCCAACGGUUGUGAUUCACGACGGGGAUGCGACGCUCAUAACAGCGGUGGAUUUCAGAAAAAAGAGAAAGCGGACGGAGCACUGGUUAGGGUUUCCACAAUCCGCUAUCCGUUCACCAGUAUCAUCCCUCCGAUAGCACUCUAGAAACGGUGGUUUAUUGGGUAACAAAUAAGAGGGUUAUGUAUCUCAGAACAGAGAGAUGACGGUGAUGAUUCAGAUAUCGGGAUUCCGGCGAGGUCUAGCAAACCCUCCAGUCACAAAACAAAAACUUAUGUAAGAUUUAAGAUGAUACUUACAUAAUUGACUGGAUGGCCGGUCGGAUACACUAAGCAAAGAGAGAAGAUGGCCGGUUGGAUACACAACUUGGCGGACCCCUGUUUCCGAAGACGACGAAAGCCGCUGCAAAUUUGACUGUUAAUUUCAUGUGGUUCAUCUUAGUGAUAUUGCUACCUUAGACCCUAGAAAUCGUCUUUACUGUCGAAUAGUAGUCCUGCUUGCUGUCGUUGUGAUAGUUGCUCGAAGCCAGGAAGGAACAUUGGGGUACAAAUUCCUAGAGGAUAAAGUGUUAUUAUUGGGUCUAGAGUGUUAAUUUUAUCGGUUUAGUGUUUUUAGAAAUAAUGAUUAUGAAUGGUGAUAAUUUUUUAGCCAAAUCAAUCUUUAAGUAUUGCUACCACAGACCGUAGAUAUCCUCUUUACUUCUGACUUUUUUACAUAUUAUUGAUCAUGUUUGUUGCAGCAUGUUAUCAAUGCUAUUGGAAAAAUCAACUUGGUGGUCUAAUUUUUGUUUUCACCAUUGUACUUUGUGCGUAUUUGCUUUUUGAAUUUAUUUUGUAAUCUUACAUCUGGUUUAUGCAUGUUUGUUUAAGUUUGGUUGUUGGUUUUGUUGUAUCGUCUUAAUUUUAGGUGUGGGUGGUGCUGUCGGUUUUCCAUUGCUUUCGCAUUUGUGGUCGAUUUAAAGUGGUUGACUUGAAAGCCAUUGUCUGUAUCGUGUUUCUGAGCUGGCUGCAACUAAAAGGGAUGGAUGAUAUAUUGGCAAGUGUGUGAAGGUUUUAGAAAUGAGUGGCCUAAAGCUUUUACAUUGAACCAGAUUAAGCUGCUGACAACAAUCUCUACUGUUGUUGAUCUCAACUACCUGGAGAAAGCGAUCACAUAAUUUAUCGUAAAUGUGGCAGACGGGAGGCGCGUAUCGUUCAGCUUGUAGGAGAAAAAAAGGUUGCUCAAACUUGUGGAUGAAUCCCAGGAUUUGUACAAAAGGAAACACUUGAGAGAGUUGGCUAUUCUAAAGAACCUUCGAUGGCACAACACGCAACCAAGAGGCAGUGUGUCUCCUUUUGGUUCCAACAGAAUAAAACGUGCCAAAACCAGGUUCCGAGGAACCCGACAUCGUACUCGGGCUACUUUAAAACUACAGAUGAAAGAAGGGUUACUCAGACUUUAGUAAUAGUUACUGUAUUUAUUCGUCAUCAACCUGUAUUUAUUAGUGUAUACAAUUAUUUAUAUAGCGUUGUACUUAUAGUUGUUACUCGGAUUUUGAUGACGAAAGAAGUAUGAUAAGCUUAAACAAAA